ACACGACUCUCGGCAACGGAUAUCUCGGCUCUCGCAUCGAUGAAGAACGUAGCGAAAUGCGAUACCUGGUGUGAAUUGCAGAAUCCCGCGAACCAUCGAGUCUUUGAACGCAAGUUGCGCCCGAGGCUAUUCGGCCGAGGGCACGCCUGCCUGGGCGUCACGC
rnacentral:rRNA from 1 species